GCUGGGUGAAGUGGUACAUGCCUGUAAUCCCAGCAACUCAGGAGGCUGAGGCAGGAGGAUUGCAAAUUUGAGGUCAGCCUCAGCAACUUAGCAAGGCCUUAAGCAACUUAGUGAGACCCUGUCUCAA
rnacentral:sRNA from 1 species